UACGUAGGGUGCAAGCGUUAAUCGGAAUUACUGGGCGUAAAGCGUGCGCAGGCGGCUUUGCAAGACAGAUGUGAAAUCCCCGGGCUCAACCUGGGAACUGCAUGGGAAACUGGCAGGCUUGAGUGUGGCAGAGGAGGGUGGAAUUCCGCGUGUAGCAGUGAAAUGCGUAGAGAUGCGGAGGAACACCGAUGGCGAAGGCAGCCCUCUGGGCCAACACUGACGCUCAGGCACGAAAGCGUGGGGAGCAAACAGG
rnacentral:rRNA from 1 species